rnacentral:rRNA from 1 species
AUCCUUUACGGCUAAUAAAAACAAUCGUUUUAAAACCAAAGAGCUUGGCGGUGUUUUAUAUAAUCAGGGAAANCUGUUGCUUAAUAUGAUACUCCACAAAUAUCUUACCAUACUUAGAAAUCUCAGUCUGUAUACUGCCGUCAAUUGCUUAAUUUAAACAAUCUAGCAAUAAAUAUUAGACUCAAAUUCUAUACCAUCUCAGGUCAAAGUGCAACCAAUAAUAUGGUGAUCUAUGGAUUACAACUACAACAUUAACUAAAAAUAAAUAAUAGCUUCUUAGAACUUGACAGUAAUAGAAUUUUACUAAAAAUCUAUUAAUUAAAAAUAAUACAUGCACAUAUCGCCCNUCACUCUCGCUGAAAAGUG